rnacentral:rRNA from 1 species
GGUGAAGUGUUCGGAUCGCGGCGACGGGGGCGGUUCGCCGCCCCCGACGUCGCGAGAAGUCCAUUGAACCUUAUCAUUUAGAGGAAGGAGAAGUCGUAACAAGGUUUCCGUAGGUGAACCUGCGGAAGGAUCAUU